UAAAGUGAUGAAAAUUCUUUGUAUCCCAUUACAAUUCUCGACUAGCUUAGGCAAUGUUGUCGAUCAAUUACACCAUCUUUCGCCUGACA
rnacentral:snoRNA from 1 species